AAGCACCAAAAUUAUUAAAGCUCAACUGGCUCCAAAUUUAAAAGUUCGAAACAGAAAGCUACACAUAAACAAAGUUCAUUCCUAUACUGGAAUCUCAUGCAAGAAAACAAAAAGGUCUACCCAUUUAUUUUCAAUAUCAAACAGCAAAAAGGAAAAUCCUUUUAGUUUUUACACUCAGUUCAUUUGUUUACCACUUCAUCAUACCCAUUCACCGAUGCAUUUCAGAUCUAAUGAAAUGGCCUUAAAAUAAAAAUUUGCACAGCGGUAGUAGAUAUAGAUUUAUGGCGUGAGGACAAAAGGAUUAAGCAGCACAUGCAAGCCAGUUUUUAACUUCUUUUUAUGGAUUGGUCUCUCGUCGGACUAACCCUAGUUUCAAUUUCGUCCUUGACA
rnacentral:misc_RNA from 1 species